AUGUCGUCCGCUGUUGCCCCCGAAAAUUCAUCGUCGCCGGCCUCCGCCAUCAUAGCAGACACGUCGAGGGGCUACCACAUCCUGAAAAUCGAUGGCUACUUGCACUCCAAGGAGACCCCCACCGGUACAGACCUCAAAUCCCGCCAAUUCACCGUGUGCGGCUAUCGCUGGCGCAUCAGAUACUACCCCAACAGCGACCGCAAAGACAGUGCCGAUUACAUAGGCCUUUUCCUCAAGCUCGACGAAGCCAUCAGCAGGAAAGUGAAGGUGCAAUUCAUGUUUAGUUUCAUAGAUUCCAUGGAUAUGAAGCAUCCUUCUCUCGCAUUGUUGAAAGCGUACACCUUCGAUAGCCAAAGUCGUUCUUGGGGCCGUGGCAGGUUCAUCAAAAGGGAAGACCUGGAGAAGUCAAAUCACCUCGCGGACGAAUCUUUCACAGUCAGGUGCGACAUCGCCAUCCUCAAAAAGUUCCGCGUCAAGGUUCGUGUCCGUGCCCCCGUCCGACCUCGACCGGCACCUGGGUGA
rnacentral:rRNA from 1 species